UGGACGAAAGUCUGAUGGAGCAACGCCGCGUGAGCGAAGAAGGCCUUCGGGUCGUAAAGCUCUGUUGUUAGGGAAGAACAAGUAUCGGAGUAACUGCCGGUACCUUGACGAUACCUAACCAGAAAGCCACGGCUAACUACGUGCCAGCAGCCGCGGUAAUACGUAGGUGGCAAGCGUUGUCCGGAAUUAUUGGGCGUAAAGCGCGCGCAGGCGGUCCUUUAAGUCUGAUGUGAAAGCCCACGGCUCAACCGUGGAGGGUCAUUGGAAACUGGGGGACUUGAGUGCAGAAGAGGAAAGCGGAAUUCCACGUGUAGCGGUGAAAUGCGUAGAGAUGUGGAGGAACACCAGUGGCGAAGGCGGCUUUCUGGUCUGUAACUGACGCUGAGGCGCGAAAGCGUGGGGAGCAAACAGGAUUAGAUACCCUGGUAGUCCACGCCGUAAACGAUGAGUGCUAAGUGUUAGGGGGUUUCCGCCCCUUAGUGCUGCAGCUAACGCAUUAAGCACUCCGCCUGGGGAGUACGG
rnacentral:rRNA from 1 species